AGAAAAUUCUUGCUGCAACCUGUGAAUUGCCGAGACCUGCUGAUUAUAUAUUUCAAGGACAACCUCCAAACCCUUCAGAUUUGCCAAGAAACUUACCUUUAUAAAGGCAAGACUUUUCACCUGUUUUGCUCACUGCUGCAUCCCCAGUGCCUAGAACAGCUGCUGAGAGAUGAGGGGAAGGUUGAAUGGAGGCACAUUUUUCAAAACCUGAAGAGGGACCAAAAUGACAAAGAAGAAGAAAACAGGUGUCAAAAGAUGAGACUUGAAACUUGUAAGGCAAAAUUUGCUUCUUCGUCAUUAUUGAAAUUUGCUUCUUUAUAAUGUUUAGAACAGAUUU